rnacentral:lncRNA from 1 species
CAGGGGUCGAGCUCGCGUCCCGUCCCCGCCCCCCUGCGCUGUGGCGCAGCAGGAAUUUGGCCGGGACCCGGGCGCUAUUCGCGGCUGCUGACUCGCGGCGGCCGGCUGCCUUUCGCUCAUCUCUAUUCUGGGGCCGUUGGGUCACCGCGCUCCGCCGGCCCCCUCCCCCGGGCCCGGAGGGUGUGUCCCCCGCUCCGGGGCUCGCCGCGCCUAUAAGGGGCCGAGCGGCGGGC